AACGAACGCUGGCGGCAUGCCUAACACAUGCCAGUCGAACGAGCCCUUCGGGUCUAGUGGCGCACGGGUUCGUAACGCGUGGGAACCUGACCUUAGGUUCGGCCUAACUCCCCGACAGGGGUGCUAAUACCGGAUCAUGUCUUCGGACCAAAGAUUUAUCGCCUUUGGAUGGGCCCGCGUUGGAUUAGCUAGUUGGUAGGGUAAAAGCCUACCAAGGCGACGAUCCAUAGCUGGUCUGAGAGGAUGGUCAGCGACACUGGGACUGGGACACGGCCCAGACUCCUACGGGAGGCAGCAGAGGGGAAUAGUGGACAAUGGGCGAAAGCCUGAUCCAGCAAUGCCGCGUGAGUGAUGAAGGCCGGAGGGUUGUAAAGCUCUAUUACCCGGGAUGAUAAUGACAGUACCGGGAGAAUAAGCUCCGGCUAACUCCGUG
rnacentral:rRNA from 1 species